rnacentral:rRNA from 1 species
GAUGAACGCUGGCGGCGUGCCUAAUACAUGCAAGUCGAACGAAACUUCUUUAUCACCGAGUGCUUGCACUCACCGAUAAAGAGUUGAGUGGCGAACGGGUGAGUAACACGUGGGCAACCUGCCCAAAAGAGGGGGAUAACACUUGGAAACAGGUGCUAAUACCGCAUAACCAUAGUUACCGCAUGGUAACUAUGUAAAAGGUGGCUAUACUACCGCUUUUGGAUGGGCCCGCGGCGCAUUAGCUAGUUGGUAGGGUAAAGGCUUACCAAGGCAAUGAUGCGUAGCCGAACUGAGAGGUUGAUCGGCCACACUGGAACUGAGACACGGCCCAAACUCCUACGGGAGGCAGCAGUAGGGAAUCUUCCACAAUGGGCGAAAGCCUGAUGGAGCAACGCCGCGUGGGUGAAGAAGGUCUUCGGAUCGUAAAACCCUGUUGUUAGGGAAGAAAGUGCGUGAGAGUAACUGUUCACGUUUCGACGGUAUCUAACCAGAAAGCCACGGCUAACUACGUG